rnacentral:RNase_P_RNA from 1 species
CAGACAAUCGCUGUGUGCUUGUAAUGGGCACAGAGAGGAAAGUCCGAGCAUCAAAAGAACAGGGUGCUAGUUAACGGCUAGUGAAGGCGACUUCAAGGAUAGUGCAACAGAAAUAGACUUCCAAGAAAUUGGUAAAGGUGGAAAGGUAGGGCAAGAGCCUACCGAGAGAUUGGUGACAAUCUUUGCUCUGUAAACCCCACUCGAUGCAAGGUUAAGUUUGGAUAUAUGUGCGUUCUUUCACAUCUAACAAAAACACCGCUUGAACUUGUUGGCGACAACAAGUCUGGAUAGAUGAUUGUCAAAUACAGAACUCGGCUUAUAGCAUGUC